rnacentral:lncRNA from 1 species
UAUAUUACAAUAAAGAAUAUGUCUAUGACAAAGUAAAGUGCAUAAGUAAAGGGUUCGGGUAAGAGAUAACCGAGGCACGGGGAGACGAUGAUGUAUCCCGAAGUUCACACCCUUGCGGAUGCUAAUCUCCGUUAGAGCGGUGUGGAGGCACAAUGCUCCCCAAGAUGCCACUAAGGCCACCGUAAUCUCCUCACGCCCACGCACAAUGCAAGAUGCCGUGAUUCCACUAAGGGACCCUUGAGGGCGGUCACCGAACCCGUACAAAUAGCAACCCUUGGGGGCGGUCACCGAACCC